CGAAUGGAUAAGAGCUUGCUCUUAUGAAGUUAGCGGCGGACGGGUGAGUAACACGUGGGUAACCUGCCCAUAAGACUGGGAUAACUCCGGGAAACCGGGGCUAAUACCGGAUAACAUUUUGAACCGCAUGGUUCGAAAUUGAAAGGCGGCUUCGGCUGUCACUUAUGGAUGGACCCGCGUCGCAUUAGCUAGUUGGUGAGGUAACGGCUCACCAAGGCAACGAUGCGUAGCCGACCUGAGAGGGUGAUCGGCCACACUGGGACUGAGACACGGCCCACACUCCUACGGGAGGCAGCAGUAGGGAAUCUUCCGCAAUGGACGAAAGACUGACGGAGCAACGCCGCCUGAGUGAUGAAGGCUUUCGGGUCGUAAAACUCUGUUGUUAUGGAAGAACAAGUGCUAAUUGAAUAAGCUGGCACCUUGACGGUACCUAACCAGAAAGCCACGGCUAACUACGUGCCAACAGCCGCGGUAAUACGCAGGUGGCAAGCGUUAUCCGGAAUUAUUGGGGCGUAAAGCGCGCGCAUG
rnacentral:rRNA from 1 species